AACCGAUAAAUCGCGUUUUAAACGCCCACACGAGUAAUCAAAUAUUAAUAUAAGAACAUUUAGUUAAUGUAAAUUCAUUGGUAUGUAAUUUUCUAGUGUAUACAUUUAUGUAUACAUAAGAUCACUGCAAUUAAAAAGGUAACGUAUGUAUUUAUAUAUACGUGAAAAAGUAAUUUAAAUUUUAUUUAAGUUACUCUCAAGAAAGAAUAAUAACCUUUUUU
rnacentral:misc_RNA from 1 species